rnacentral:tRNA from 1 species
ACUUAUUUAAUAUAAAAAUUAUAUUUAACUUCCAAUUAAAAAAUCUAUACAAUCUUAGAAUAAGUA